GGAUUAUAGCUCAGUGGUAGAGCACUUGCUUCUCAUGUGUGAGGCACUGGGUUUGAUCCUCAGCACCA
rnacentral:tRNA from 1 species